CUCAUUUUUUCCCUCACAGAAACGCUGCCUUUCCCCACUCUCUCUCCUAAACCCUCAGUCCCUCUCUCUCCUCUCCAUGACUCUGCCUCCUCUCUCUCUCUCCUAAACCCUCGGUCGCUCUCUCCUCUCCAUGACUGCUAUGCUGCUAAAAAGUUGAUGCUUCUCCUCCAUCGAAGAUUUGAGAAUAUUGCCGACUCGCAACUAGGAAGGAGUGGCGGUGGCGUGAAAAAACGGAGGAUUUUGCAAUGGAAGGGAUAAUCGGAGUCGUAGAAAGAAGGUGAUGAUAUUGGCGGUGGAAACAUCGUUGAAGCUGCUGGCGUUGCCUCCUUUUCAUCGUCGUAAUCAACCGCGCGCCGGCGUCGCUUCUUUCUUCUACUUCAGGUUUUCAUUGUUUUUAGGUUUUUGAGUAGAUCGAAUAAACGAAUUGCCGACCGUUUCUUGGUGGAAGUGGUGGUUGUAGAAGCGACAGUUAGGUCGCCAUUGAGGAGAGGCUUCGUCGUUGGAGAUGAGCAGAGGACAAGGAAGAGGAAGUGAAGGAGAGCCGCCGCUGUUGAGCAUUCGCCUCCUUUGAUUUCGAUUCGAAGUCGCCCCAUGAUGCUGGAGGUUGCAGUGCUCGGGAUUACGUGCUCGGUGCUACUCAUGUUGACAGUGGAGAUGGUGGUGGAGAAAUAUUACAUCGGUGAAGGAAGGAGGAGAGCCGCGGGGAUUAGGGGCGGCGAUUACAUCAUAAUUUGAUGUUUGAGCAGCGACAAGUUUUGGUGGUGGAGCCGCUUCCGCCGGCGAAGAGAUCUUGGAACAAGUUCAAGCGCGACUCUUGAGCGCCAUGAAGGAGGUUGGGCUUUUGAUGCAUCAACACCAGUAGAUUCAUCGUCACCAUCGACGAACACCCUCAGAUUCAUCGACGACGGCCGCAGAACCAUAAUCUGUUCUCGCUCCUCUACUCUGCUGCUGCCAUUGUUUAUUCGCGUGGUGGCCGUUGUCGGUGGUGGUGGCCGUUGUGUUUCACAGCCGCGAUGAGUGGAAGCGCUGCCUGUUGUUGGGUGCAAAAAUAGUAAAGAAAUAUAAUUUAAUUUCCAAAUUUGUAUUGGAAAUGUAAACAAUUUUAUUCAUUUAUAUUAGUCAGGAUUAAAUUGGUUUUAGUUAAGAAUAACUUCAUUUUAGUUACAUUUUUGUUAUAUUUAGUUAAGAGUAUUUUCGUUUUAGUUAAAAAUAAUUUCGUUUUAGCUAUAAUUAAAUUCGUAUUAGUUUGAAAUAA